CAUAUCGGAACGUGCCCAGUAAUGGGGGAUAGCUCGGCGAAAGCCGGAUUAAUACCGCAUACGCCCUGAGGGGGAAAGUGGGGGAUCUUCGGACCUCACGUUAUUGGAGCGGCCGAUAUCGGAUUAGCUAGUUGGUGGGGUAAAGGCCUACCAAGGCGACGAUCCGUAGCUGGUCUGAGAGGAUGAUCAGCCACACUGGGACUGAGACACGGCCCAGACUCCUACGGGAGGCAGCAGUGGGGAAUUUUGGACAAUGGGCGAAAGCCUGAUCCAGCCAUGCCGCGUGAGUGAAGAAGGCCUUCGGGUUGUAAAGCUCUUUCAGGUGGAAAGAAAGCGGAUGGGCUAAUACCCUGUUCGGAUGACGGUACCACCAGAAGAAGCACCGGCUAACUACGUG
rnacentral:rRNA from 1 species